rnacentral:rRNA from 1 species
CUUGGUCAUUUAGAGGAAGUAAAAGUCGUAACAAGGUUUCCGUAGGUGAACCUGCGGAAGGAUCAUUAUCGAAUUAUAAGCGGAGGUUGUCGCUGGCCCCUUGGGGGGCAUGUGCACGCCCGAGCUCUUAAUCCACUUACACCAGUGAACUCUUUGUGGGGAAACCGUCCAUCUCUCCUCCGUGGGGGGUGGAGGGGAUUCUCAUGUAUUAUUCCAUAUACUCUUAUGCAUGUCUUCAGAAUGUCUUGAUGUUGCUCCAACGCAAUCAUAUAUAUACAACUUUCAACAACGGAUCUCUUGGCUCUCGCAUCGAUGAAGAACGCAGCGAAAUGCGAUAAGUAAUGUGAAUUGCAGAUUUUCAGUGAAUCAUCGAAUCUUUGAACGCACCUUGCGCUCCUUGGUAUUCCGAGGAGCAUGCCUGUUUGAGUGUCAUUAAAAUUCUCAACUUCACCGGUUUGAUUCGAGUGGAAGCUUGGAGUUUGGAGCGUGCUGGCCCUCUGGGGGUCGGCUCCUCUUUAAAUGCAGCAGCGGAGGCAUCUUUGACCUUGCGGCAUUGGCGUGAUAGUCGUUGUUGCGCCGUUGGCCCCAAGGUCUCGGUCCGCUUACAAAUGGUCCUCUUGGACAAUGAAAUGUUUGACCUCAAAUCAGGUAGGACUACCCGCUGAACUUAAGCAUAUCAAUAAGCGGAGGAAAAGAAACUAACAAGGAUUCCCCUAGUAACUGCGAGUGAAGCGGGAAAAGCUCAAAUUUAAAAUCUGGCGGUCUCCGGCCGUCCGAGUUGUAAUCUGGAGAAGUGUUUUCUGCGUCGGACCGUGUACAAGUUUUCUGGAACGGAACGUCAUAGAGGGUGAGAAUCCCGUCUUUGACACGGACCGCCGAUGCUAUGUGAUACGCUCUCGAAGAGUCGAGUUGUUUGGGAAUGCAGCUCAAAAUGGGUGGUAAAUUCCAUCUAAAGCUAAAUAUUGGCGAGAGACCGAUAGCGAACAAGUACCGUGAGGGAAAGAUGAAAAGCACUUUGGAAAGAGAGUUAAACAGUACGUGAAAUUGUUGAAAGGGAAACGCUUGAAGU